CAAUAGCACGAGGCCAAGCCUAGGCGUUAGGAGACCUCGCAUGUUUCUGCUCUGUUCUCUUAAGCCCCAAUUAAUUAUCAAGAGGACCUUCCCCAGAGAGCUGCUGCCUGCUCAUCUAAGCCAAAGAACAUGCACACCAGAGGAGCCUUGAGCCCAGGGCUGGCGGAGCUGCUAAGCCCAGCCAAGAUCAGCAAAUUCCUGCCAACCCAAAGGCUUGCACCCCUGUCCAUGCACAAGUUCAUGUACCCUGGAAAGGUGUGAACCACAGCAAGCCGGACUCCAGCCAUCCUGGAACCCUGAUCUUGAACUUCCAGCCUCUAGA
rnacentral:lncRNA from 1 species